rnacentral:rRNA from 1 species
UACGUAGGGCGCAAGCGUUAUCCGGAAUUAUUGGGCGUAAAGAGCUCGUAGGCGGUUUGUCGCGUCUGCCGUGAAAGUCCGGGGCUCAACUCCGGAUCUGCGGUGGGUACGGGCAGACUAGAGUGAUGUAGGGGAGACUGGAAUUCCUGGUGUAGCGGUGAAAUGCGCAGAUAUCAGGAGGAACACCCGAUGGCGAAGGCAGGUCUCUGGGCAUUAACUGACGCUGAGGAGCGAAAGCAUGGGGAGCGAACAGG